CCCCCCACCCCGCCCCCCGAAGCGUGUGCCCAGACCCUACCUGGGCUGAGCAGGAAGGCGCCAAGCAGGAGCAGACCGAGCUCCAAAGGUUUCAUUCCUGAGCGUGGACGGAGGAGGGCGAGCAACUUGGCGUCCAGUUGGUGGUUCCUUCGCCCCCGGGGUCUCCCCCGUUGCCUUUCCUGCCCGUCCCUCGGUCCGUCCGUCUGUCCGGCCGGGACCCUGCCCCCUGCCCUCCUUGCCCACCCCCCACCGCCCCCAAUCCUCCUCGCUCCCUUUCUAAUAUUGGGGUCCGGCUGGGACGGGGCGGCGGGGAUUCAGCGCCCACGGCAAGCCCGGCGUCUCGGAGACCAACUCACUUCUCGCAGACCCGUCCAUCCCCCAAGCUCCCUCGACAUCGCAGACACACAUACACACACACACACAUGCACAACACACACACACACAAUACACACACACACCGCGUCCUCGGGCGGCUCCUCUCCGGGCGGGAGAUAGGCGAGGCGAUCCGGUCGCCGGCGGGGAGGAGGAGGAGGAGGGAGGGAGGAGGAGGAGGGAGGGAGGAAGAGGAGGAGGAAUGGAGGAGGAGGAGGAGGAGGAGGAGGAAGGGAGGAGGAGGAGGAAGAGGAGGGAAGAGGGAAGAGGGAGGGGAGAGGGGAGGAGCGAGGGGGGAGGGGGGAGGAGCAAGGAGGGAGGGGCAUCAGCAUCCAAGAGGCCCUAAGCUCUCAACACCUCCCCCUCCCCUCCUCGUCCCGUCCCCCCACCCCCAAAUCCGAGGGGUGAGGGAAGGGUGCGGGGAGGGGGCUGAUCUUCUUUUGUCUCCCAACAGGAGGACGGACCCCUCGACUGCCGCCUCUGCAUUGGACACCCACGAGUCACAGCUCUCAGUCUGGAUUUGAUGAGUCCUUGGUGCACUUUGUCCACACCCCUCCCUCCAGCCUCCAGCACUGGCUGGGGCUCAGCGGAGGUCCAGCCUCCCACCUCACCUCUGCCCUGGACUCUGGCCGCAUGGCAGCAGCGAGCCCAAGAUGGCAGGUGCCGAAGUGCCCCACCAGGAAGAGCGGCAGACUCAGAAGAUGGUGACCGCUGACUGGCUACCGAACUGGAUCGACAACCCAGCAACCAGUGACAGGCCACAGAGGAUUGCUACCGGUGGGACUGCCAGGGAGUGGGAAGGUGGGGACUGACUCUGUCUACCGGGGAUAGGAAGAUGCAAGUGAGAAAAGAGAUAAAACCCAGAUCUGCAGGCAACAGGCGCUCAGCACCUGGAUCUAUGAGUAUAUGCUGAGACCUCCAGGGAGGGAGUGGGAAUAAAGACUACUGACGUACCCCGAACUACUGUUCCACUAGUUUUAUCACUCCGUCUUCCUGGGGUGAGGGAGCCGGUGUUUCAGACAUGGCUCUAGACUGUACGUUCAUUGUGGACAGGGAAUGUGUUCUGUUACACUAUCAUAUUGUGCUCUCCCAAGCGUGUAGUACAGUGCUAUGCACACAUUAAGCGCUCAAUAAAUAUGAUUGACAGACUGAUUGAUGGGGUGUACCAUCCAGUCUGCCCCUCCUGUUUGACCCUUUAACACUGCUCCCCCAAAGCUUCCUUGUGGCCUCUGAGUCCUUUAGCACUUAGCUACUGUGUAAGCACUGAUCCUUCUUACACUCGGUUGUCUCCCCUACUUGUACUAUAUUUUAAUGUUUGUCUCUUUUUUUGGUAAUGGCAUUUGCAGGCACUGUACUUAGUGCUGGGGUGGAGAUGAGCUAAUCAGUUUGGACUCAAUCCAUGUCCCACAUGGGGCUCAUAGUUUUAACCCUCAUUUUACAGAUGAGGAACUGAGGCCCAGACAAGUGAAGUGACUUGCCCAAGAUCACACAGCAGACAAGCGGCAGAGCCAGGAUUAGAACCCAGGUCCUUCUGACUCCCAGGCCCGGGCUCUACCCAUUAGGCCUCACUGCUUUUCUCCCUCGUUGAAAGCAGUAAUUGUGUCUAUUGACUCCAGUGUACUCACCCAAGUGCCAGAACAGUGCUCCGCAACAGUAAGUGCUCAAUAAAUACUGUGGAUUGAUUGAUUGACUUUCACUUUGUGAACGGCCAUGUUUGCUCCCAGACCUGAACAAUACCUUGGGUCUAGGCCAUCCCUUAGUACAGGACUUUGUCCCAAAGCAUAGAAAACCAGCACUACCUGAUUAAUUUAUAUGAGGCGGAAUCUUGGAAGUCCGCAGGCUCAUUGGCCCUCAUUGUUCCUUAUUUCGUCCACCUGUCCCACUCCGUUGCUGUUCCAGGAUCUAAAGGGAAGCUGAAACAUCUCCGUUUCCCCUGGAAACGAAGCAAGCCUUCCUCCGCUGGCCCUACAUGGCUUCGUUGUUUUUCGGGACUGCAGGAGACUUGAUGUUCUUUGCAAGUUCCCCUUGGUGGCAGAUUAACCUUAUCUGCCAUCCCCGGAGUUGUGGGCCCCAAGCCAGGAGAUUCAGAUCAGCUCUGUGCCCCAAGCCCCCGACCCUCCUGAACCGAAACUUCUCUUUGAGCCAGGCCUGAAGGUUCUUUUCCAUUUCUCUAUCUCCAGGUACCUGAAGACUUAGGGGGUUAGCUCAUCCUGGCUACCACAGACAGAGUAGCUGAGUGGAAGGCUUAUGGGACGGGGAGUCAGGGAACCUGGGUUUCAGCCCUGGCCCCAUCACUUCCCUGCUCUGUGACCUUGAGCAGUUCACUUAACCUCUCUGGGCCUCAGUUUCCUCACCUGUAAAAUGGGUCUAAAAUAUUUAUUCUCUUUCCUACUUAGACUGUGAGCCCCAUAGGGGGCAAGGACUGUGUCCAACCUGAUGAUCUCAUAUUUAUCCCCAUGCUUGAAGCCUAGUAAGUCCUUAAUAAACACCAAAAUUAUUAUUAUGGGAGAUAGAAAGCAGUGAAAUGGAAAGUGUCUAUUCCUUAAGCAUCACUGAGGUCUCUGCCAUAUUUUCCGGCUAAUUACAAAUAUUAGCCUAAAUAACCGAGGUAUACUGGCUGAGCUUGUGGAGUUAAACCACAGGCGUAUUGACCAGUUUCUAGAUGUGUGGCUCCUGUUGGUCCAGGCAUUCUCAUGAUUGACAGCUGAUGCUCCAACAAUGCUGGCAGGCCUGGUCUUCCCUCCCUCAUGUCUCCCUGUCCAUCCAACCCUGGGUAGUCAUCUAGGCUACCAGUCUGGCAACCAUAUAAGUGGACAAGGAUGGGAGGCCGCCAAUCCCUGAGAUGUCCUCUGUCAAUCAGGGUCCUGGAGGUGGGCUCGGAGCUGAGACUAGUGGCUCAAUGGGAAACUGCUGCAUCUCUCAGACCUGAACACUUUGUUAGCUGGAGUGACGCCAUGAGCUGUGACACCAUUUUGGGUCAAGAGAACAGAUCGUGCGGACCGGGACUCUCCAAGCAGCUGGAUGCUUGGAGAUCCAUGGGAAUGUUACCAAUGGGGACUGCCAGGAAGAAGCCUAAAUUUCUGCUAAUGAAACGCUGUUUCUGAGCACCAGUCCAGCCCCUACUUCACCCAUUGGCUACUGGAGCAUUAUAUUUCUCUAAUCAGGAGCUUGGGGCUCCCCGGGAGGGAGUUCCACAGCUAACCAGGCUCCCCUACCUGAGAAGUGGCAGGGGAUUUCAUCGAGACCUAAGUCUCUCCCCUACUCAGACAACUAAGUAGUAAUCUCCUUGAGGACAUGGAUCAUGUCUACUGACUCUAUUACACUGUUCUCUCCAGAGCACUUAGUACAGUGCGAUGCACACAGUGAAUGCUCAGUAAAUACCACUGAUUGACUGCUUGAUUCACAACCUGGAGGCGAAAGCUGGCACUUGCAGGGAAAGUGAUUUGAUAACAAAUUCAGCAAUGUGCCAGAAGAGGGAGGGGAACCGCUACAUUGGAGAAGUGUGGCCAAGUGGAAAGAGUGUGGACGGAGGAGUCAGAGGAUCCAGGUGCUAAUCCUAGCUCUGCCACUGGCCUGCUGUGUCACCUUGGGCAAGUCACUUAAUAAUAACAACAAUAAUAAUAAUAAAAACUUCUCUGUGCCUCAGUUUCUUCUGCAAAGUGGGGAUUCAAUACCUCUUCUCCCUCUUAUUCAGAUUGUCAUCCCACUGUGGGAUAGAGACUAUGAUCUACCCAUUGCUUAGUACAGUCCUUGGCACAUAGUAAGCACUUAGCAAAUACUAAUAUUGUUGGUAUUGGUUAAGCACUUAUUAUGUGCAGAGCACUGUUCUAAGCACUGGGGUAGAUACAGGGUAAUCAUGUUGUCCCACAUGAGGCUCAC
rnacentral:lncRNA from 1 species